CGCCCGAUCACCGAGCGGAGAGGGUUUUCCGCAAUAAUAACACCGAGUACCGCCUGCAAGCAGUCAAGAAUGUGCAACCAUGCUCAAGUGUUGUUUCAUGGUAACACAUACCUACGUGCGUCCCCUUCAUCCGGUUUUUCCCUUGUAUUCUACUUACUUGUAGCGGUAGGCAGAGGAUCUGUGAUGGCUUGUGCCCGGGACAAGAUGACGAAUGCUACACAAAGAAACACGGCCCACAUUUCACCUGUAGAACACAAAAUAGAUACCAUGACCCUGAUUGCAGCAUACGACAGUGUGAAUAGAUGUCUAGGACAUGCACAUAAUGAUUAUUAUUUUUCAGGGCUGUGAAAAACGCAAGUUCUACUCUUGAGAUUGAAUCACAGUCUUUGCCGAGUUGUCGCCAGGGAACAAAGCCUGCCAACCAUACCACCAGAAGAGGCUUCCCAACACCACAAAUUACAAUUAUUUCUCGUUCUCCUCUUUUCCAUGUGGGAAUAGAUUUAAAAGUCUGUGUCAAAUAAACUGAAAAAUUGGUUUAAAAAA